ACUUCUCCGAGAAGUUUUAUCAGUGCAGCAGCGAAUGCCAGAACAGAUUUCCUGAGUAUUUUGUUAUAGACGCGACACGGAAAGGGAAUAAAAUAAAGUUCGCUAAUCAUUCGAUAAAUCCAAAUUGUUAUGCGAAAGUGAUGAUGGUGAACGGUGAUCAU